UCCCUCUUAGCUCAGUUGGUAGAGCGCGUCACUAGUACACGUUUAUGAAAUGACGAGGUCAGUCGUUCAAAUCGGCUAGCGGGAA